CGGGGCCGAAGCGCAGCGGGCACUGCCCGGGGCGCGGACGCCACGAGACUUGCUGGGCCCGGGGAAUUUCACACUCGAGUGAGAAGCUGAUAGAGGCAACGUUAGAGGUGUGAGCGGUGGUCAGAGUGCUCAGGGACACAACAGAUGUCAGGAGAGAGGAAGAGGUAAAACACGGCACAUGUAAUUCAAAAGGGGGGAAGAGGUAGAGCCAAGCACUGUCAAUCAUUCCAGCCUCUAUUCCCACACAUCUUUAAGUACAUGAUAGCUAAUGAAGUGAUAAGUUACAGCCAGCAUAGAUUUGUCAAAUCACAUCGAGCCAAACUCAUCCUAAGCUGUGACAAUAACAGGCCUUGGAUGUGAGUAGUGCUUGGUUAGUUAUGGCUUGACUUAAGUCAGGUUUUGGACACCAUCUCAGAGAAAUCUUAAUUGAGCAAGCAAAAGACAUAAUGAAAUGACUGCAGCGGUGCAAAAUUACAUCAGCAACAUUUCACUGUGACAAGUAGCAGGACAGCAAAUACGGUUCCCUGGAGGCGGGUAUGUCAUGACUGUGGUCCCAAGUCUCAUUACAUAUGUGACAGAAUACAGUUUACAUGGAUUGGACUUACCAACAAUGCCAAACUGGCAGAGCUGGAAGCAUGUUACAGCACAAGAAAAGAAUUAAAAACCUUCCUGAAAAAAUAAUUGCAGAAAUAUGGUGCAAUUGAAUAAAUACAAGUGCCAACUUCAACAUUUUAGCAGGAAAAUAACAAUUGCACAAUUGCAAGACUGGGAACAGAUGAAUAAACACCAGGUUUACAGAAAAGGGGCGGGGGAUCAGAGUAAAUCACAAACUGAACAUGCAUCUACAAUGUCACACCGUUGUGAAAAAAGCUGCAGUACAGAGAACUGCGUAAACAGAACUGUCAUAUCUAGGACAUAGGAAGAAUCCCUCAUCUUUAAUACUGGUGAAGCCUCAUCUGUGUGUUCAGAUUUGGCCUCUGCGUUUGAAGAAAAAUUUCUUUCAAAAACUUCCAGUAGAAGACAGUACAAGGAAAGGGGGUGGGGGGGGGGAGAAGUCACCAUUUUAUAAGAUGUGACCCUAAUUGAAAAUAGGAAUGUGUGGGAUAUUUUAGUCUAGAGAAUAAAAGACCACAGGCAGAAAAAUCCAUUGUUCACUGAGUCCACUGCAGACAAGGCUAAACAUAACAGCUUUAAAUUGUACUGAGAAAUUUUAGUUAGACAUUAGGAACAGUUCUAAUGCGAUACAGAUAAAUAAAACUGGCAUAUAUUCUCAACAGGAUCCUGGAAAUUGUAUUAAUAUGGUUUUUAAUAUUAAGUUAAAUAUCUGUAAGGAAGUAUAGAAGCAUUUGACUUCUGUGAAGUAAUGGAGGCACACUAGCUAAUAAUUGUUUUCAGCAUAAUUUUCUGUAGCUGCAGUUACCAUCCAGAUAUCUAGAUAUCUGUUCUGAUGCUAUUUUUUUCUGACAAAAGUGAAUCCCAGGGGCACUUAAACAUUUAAUGUGUUGUCAUGAUCUUAUGCACAGGUGUAGAUAUCCCCUUUGGGAGUCUUUGUCAUGUUACAAUCAGUAUAGCUGUAUGGCAACAUAUGUCACAUGCUCAGCUAAUUUGCUAAUUUAUAAACUUUAUAUAUCACUAUAAAUUCCACAUUUAAAAAUAAUGUGUGUGUUAGUGCACAUGUAACCAUCAUCUAUCACAGCUUUUGCUUUUCUUUGCUUUUUCUCCAUGGUACCAGAGGCUAAUUUUCCCCAAAAUCCAUUAAAUUCAGGGGUUUCUCUGGAGCAUGCCAGUCAGGAGAAGGCAGUGUUGAGUGGUUUAUGUUGCAGGACUGAGACCCACCAAACUCAACUCAUUAGAGAUGACUAAAAGGCCAUUAAAUAGGCCAAUUUUCAAUCUCCACUGAGUUAGACUGAAUUCAAACUGAUAGCCCACAGGCAAAAGGCUAUGAAUUUCAUUAACAGUACCCCAAAGCAUUCAGUCCCCUAAUGAGUGCUAAUAUUAUUCUUCUGAGAAUUAAGCUUAUUUUCUGAAAAUAUACAUUUAUAAAAUCGAGUUCUAAUUAUUUUGGAGCUUGUAAGGACAGUUUUUCCACUGCUCUUAUGCAAAAGAAACAAUAUCAUCUUGUGCAAUCCACAGAUUCCUUCUAAGAUUCUUAUAUCAUAUGUGCUCCAUGCUAACCAAAAUACAAACAAUAAAAAUGUGAAAAAGCAAAUAUUAAUACUACUAUGCUUCUGUCUGAAACACAUCUAUUUUAUUGCAUGCAAUAAUUUUAAGGUCAUUACACUUAAUUUAAAUAUAUUUUGUCCCAUAGAAGGUAAGAUUUAAGGAACAGCAAUUACUGCUUCAAUUCUGCAAUUAAUAACUGAAAGAAAUCAUCAAAUUCCAUAAAAGUAUUAAGUUACAGAAAAUGCAGUAUUUUAUUACAUUUCACAUCUAUUUGUGAACAAGUAAAAUGCUUAGCUUAAGGAAACCUGAACUUCAGUUCUAAUGCUGCCAAAUCCCACGAUUUAUUAAUAGUUUAAAGAUAUCUAGCAAUUUUUUAAUCUCUCAACCUAAUUCUUUUACUAAGAGGCCAAAUUCCAUUAGGACUAGUGAAUUUUUAAAAAUGCUUAUGAUUCACAUAAUCAGUGGAUCAAAAAAAUCCACAUUUGGUGUGAAUGAAUAAAGAACAUAAAUGCAAUAUUUCAUUAAAAUGGCACUGUGGUAAAAGAUUAUGUCCAGUGGUGUCAGAAGUCUUUUUUGAUUUUUAAUUCCACUUCUGUUGCCAUUUAUAGUAUGUGAAAAGCAGUAUAUUAGCUUAAAGGCUGCAUGAUGGAUUAAGAAGACUUGAGAAAUAGACACAGAAUGACACAAAAUUGGGAUUGCAUGUCUGCACAAAAUAGAAACUUUAGGACCAGUGAAGCAUUCUAAUGUCAGUAAAAGAACAUGUAUGGCCAGUAAAGAACCACACAAUAGGAUCUUGAAAAUCAAGCCACAUACUGCACAGCUGGCUUUCUAUUUGCAGGAAUUCUGGCUGUGUCCUGUAUUAUUUCUCCAUCAAUGCAGACAAGGCCUAAUAAUGGUUAAAACAGCAUUUGAAAAUCUCUUGAGAGACUGAUGCUCCUAGUUCCUCCUGAUCUUCAACAUGGCUAUAAAAAGCUUAAACCAAGGCAGGUUCUUUCAAGUUAGCAGCAAAGUAUGAUUAACUGGAACCAAUUUAGAAACUGUUUCUUCAUAUAAACAUUUUUGUAGCUGAAGCUGCAGAGGGAGAGUUGGAAAAUGUUUAAGCUGAAGCAUUUUGAAUGAAAAAAGACUGCAAAUGCCUCCUUGUAACACAUAGCAAAAUCCCAAAUGCCUGGAGGGAAAAACUUUUUAAUGAUAAUUUCUUACAUUUAUAUAGCACCUUUAAUUCCCUAGGACCCCAAGCACUUCAUUAACUCUAUGCAAAAAGCUUCACCAUGGAAAUAUAGCCACUAUAUGCAUCAUUCCUUGAAAAUUUCAUAUUCACUUGACAUAUAUUCUGGUUAUCCUGUGUACAGCAAACAAAACAACGGCAGAUAAAAUAUUAAGCUAUAUAAUUUUGAGUUAUAGAAUAUUUUAAGGCUGUACAGUUUACAAAAUGCUAUCAUGUAAUGGAUAAAUCACAUUUGGCCCAUUAAUUUUCAUUCUCCAUUUACUAUUUCAAUCUCAUCUUUAGCCCUUGGUAGAAAAUUUUGUCUUUCAUAACACUUUCAAAAUUAAAAUGAUUCUUGAUGUCUGAAUUUCAGACAAAAAUUGUCUCUAUAGGAAAAAGUAACAUCUUUUAUGAAAUACACUACUACAGUCGGAAAAAGUAGAGUUUUUGAGUACCUGAGAUAUAGCGAUGGGAUGUUUUUUUUAAGGUGAGAUGGUUGUACUAAUAAAAUCCCUUAUCUUUACGUAUAAAGUUUGUCUUGUCUUUGCCUCUAGACCCUUGUAACUACAAAAACAAGCAUACAGAAACAAGAUCUGAAAGAUAUUUGUGUUUCAUUGCUCAACUUGCCACAGAGUUUUUCUUUACACUCUUCAGAGAUGUUUUUGUUUUCUUGCCUUUCUUACAAUGAAAUUAUGCUGAUUUCACUAAUAUCCACGAAUUUAGGAACUCAAUGUACUGGUUGUUUCAACAAACAGUAAUCAAUAUUAUUUCAGUUGAAAUAUUAGAAGAACUAGUAAAAGAAUUAUUUGGAGCAGUUUGAUUUAUUUCAACAUCGUGAAAACAGAAAGGGGGAAGGUGACUUUUCCUAAUAUUUUUUUUUUGCUGCUUGAGCUGUUGAUUCAUGUCUUGCUGGCUUGUUUCACAGGCCCUUUUGAGAUACAGUUAUCAAUGUUAAUUAAAGAGGAUAGUCUCGUCUAUUUUUCAGACA